ensembl:snRNA U6 U6 spliceosomal RNA
AUUUCCUUUGGCAGCAUAUAGUCAAGCUGGAACAAUAUGAAGAUUAGCAUGGUUCUUGUGCUAGGGUAAUAUGCAAAUUCAUGACACAUUCCACAUUUAA